GCAACGGGACUCCAAUAGAAGGCAACAGCUGAAGUGGAGAAGGCUGCCACAGAACAUUAAACUGAAACCUUCAUACUUGAUCAAAUCUCCUUUCUGUAUCUGAUCAGACCACACAUUUUAGGACAAAUAUACAACAAAAAAUCAGAGCAGGGGAAAAUGCACAAGAAGAAAACCCACUGAAGACAGAUUUUCCUGCUGGGUGGCACCUGGUGAUUUAAUAAACGUAUCAUACUGCUAAAAUAGAGAGCUACGGAAUGCCUUCACGACGCGGAUCUGAGGGGAAAAAGAGGAAAGAGAUGUCAGAGACAGGAACAUCUAACAGAUGACUAUCCCUGCAGAAUUCCAAAGGCUGACAUAUGUGGUCAUGUCCUGCCUGAAGUCAAUAAGGACUACAUGAAAUGCAAAACAGGGAGGAAUUUGGUCCAGGAUGCCUAUGGCAAAAAGAGGAAACAGCCAAGAAUGGAGAGUUACUGUUAAAAAAGGAACAAGAAGAAUAAUUUAUCCAUGGAUUAUGAAGGCAAAGAUAUAUAGAACUACAAGAUACCUCUCAAACUAGAAGGAGAACUGAAAGUGUAUAAUUCGCUUUUUGUUGUUGUUUAAACUCACCACAACCAGAAAGACAUCCUGACAGAAAUGCCAACAGACAACACUCCUCCUACAGCCACCAGGAAGAAAAUAAUGCACGUUUAGAGAAUAACUCUUGCAAUCUAUAGAUCUCACCUGGGCACACGUCUGUCACUCUUAUCUGGAGGAUCCUUGUAACAGUUUGGAUUUUCUCUCUUGAGGAGUGCUCCUGGGUCAAGGUACUCUGGGACCCAGAAUCCCAAGGCUGGGGAUCUGCAUUUAAGUACUUACCUUGGGAGCUUUGGGAUUUAACCUGAUCUUUAAUCUCUGUAGCAGCAAUUGCCACCUUUAUUUUUCUGCUUUCCCACAACAGCAACACAAUAGUGUCACUGCAGAGACCUGAUGCACCAGACAUUACUCCUUGCACCUACUAAUUCCCUUCUUCCUAAAAAUAUAACCAUUUAUCUUUCUUCAGAAAAAAGUUUGUUAACGUUUAAAACGGAAAAAGGGGAAAGCACUGUCUUAACUUAAAGCAAAUAUCUACAUUUCAAAAAGCUCAACAAAAGCAUCUCAUAUGAAAAUUCCAUUUAAGACCCUUUAAACUAGAAAAAAGUGUCCUUAAUUAUUUGCAUAUUUUCCUUUACAGCCCUGUAUAAACUGACCAAUCUGAUACAAUGGGGAUCACAUACUUGUCUUUUCAAAGCUGCUCUCUGUUGUUGUUGAGACUAAGUCAACAUGCUAUUUUGUUGCAAUGAAAAUGGCCAUGUAUGUUGCUAAGAAAAAAAUAUGGAUUCUGCCUUAAAACAAAUGUUAUUUGCUUGUGGCCAUGUUAUUUAGUAAAUUGGUCUACUUUGCAUAUUUAGGAUGUCAGUAUACAUAUAAACUUAAUUUCCUCUAUGCACAGAAGUAAUGUCCAUGUAUACUUCUGCAUAUUUAGUGAAACAUUUCUAAAAUAUGUAAAUGAUAUAUUAAAGUUCAUAAAUAACAGUAA